CCAAAUUUCAAUUUCCAUAAUCUACUGGAAUCCUAUUCCAAACAUAUAUAAACGGGCAAGAAUAGUAUGGUACUAGAGGGAAGAAAAGAAGAAAAAACUUGCAAAACAAAUAUCCACAAUCCACAGGAAUUUACAAGUAAGCCACUAUAAUUACAAGUAUCACAAUAUGCGAAUGCUUAAGUGUAUUGUACCAUUAAUAAUUCAUUACACUAUGUGCAUUCACAACGUAACUCGAACGAUAUUAUCAACUGAGGCCACUGCAACUAGUUUCUUUCAAAUCAGAACAAUUCAUAAGUUUUACAUUGUAUUCAUCACAUAAAACCCUGCAACCUAAGCUAACCGUCAAUUUGCCCAGGCAAAACAGGUAGGAUUUUCAUGUUGGGUGAUUGUGAGUUGGAUAUCGACAUCAGCUUAGACCUAUAUUUCUCGUCUCCAUCGUGCUUGAGAGGUUGGACAACUUUCUCAUUGUCCAAUUUUUUAGGUGACUCUUCAGUAAUGAACUCAGUCUCCGGUAGUCGGUAAGAGAUGGCAAUCAAUGACUCACGAGUCACGUCAUCGGGAACCUCCUUGCAGGGCUCUUUCUUGUCCAUAAAAUGACGUUAUUUGUCCUGCAAUAUAUGAUGGUGAUUGUUCAACUAGAAAAGAUGAUUGUAAAAUAUAUGGUAGGAAAAUACUAGUAUACACAAUCCAAUACCAAGUCAUUUGAGCGCAACUUGAAUACAAAUUUGGCAUUAAUCAAAAGUACUCAACAUCAAAAGUUGAUCUACGUAUAGUCAAUUUGUAGAGUUAUGCAGUGUUUCUAAAAGCAACAUGGUAGCUGAAUUCAUGACAGCAUGAUGGGCAAUCUGAGUUCAUAGCUCUGAUGCAAGCUUCUCUAAUAUCAAUAUCAGUCCAAUAAUUACUAAUCUUUUUUACCCUGAUUGUAGUUAAGAAGAGGUGUCAUAAUGGUUUUUGGUCUAACUACCAUUUUGAUUGAUCCACAUAACUCUUUUACAACCUCUUAAGUAAAUUUUCCAACAUUAACCCAAUAUACAAGCAACUAAGACAGAAAAUUACAUUAAUAUUGAACAGAUCAAUUUUAAUCCAACCCCGUAACUCACUUCCAUUCAAAUCUUAGCAAUUAGUUGCUCAACUCCUGCUAGAGACCAUGUAAAGCAGGCGGAUUCAACUGGUAAGCAAAGAAUAGAUGGAGAGUUUUUUUUGUACCGAGAGAUGAAGUGGACAUUGAAUGUCAACCAGUGCAAGUAGGGAAUUCUUGAUUCUGAAGGGCUUGGAAGAACUUACCAGCACAAAAGCAAUUUCAAGUAGGCUGAUGUAAACAUUUUUUAACGCUCCUCAAUAACAGACGACAAAAAACUGGAAACUUUUGUAAACAGAAUUUAAGAUUCCUAAAAGACCGAGUCACGUUGAACAGUAGUAACAUCACAGGUGAGAGGAUAAGAUCUAGAUUUGAGCUAAAGGUUAAACGAAGUCACAUAUAGUCAGAGUAAGUAGAUCUUACUGAAGCCUAAUUCCUUUUAGGCACUUAGCAAAUUUUGAUAAGGAUGAUGAAGAAGAGAUCAUAAAAAAGUUAGGUUAUACAAGGACAACGAAGACAAGAGAACUUAGUAUCAAAAUAUAACCUGGUGAUAAUUUCCAAUUGGAUAUCAUUUAUCAUCCAAUUCUGCUGGACAAUGGAAAUUACCAAGAUACUUUACGUGUAAACUUCCUUUGAAUGAAAUCAAUGCAAGUCAUUGUUAUAACGUUUUAGAAUCAAAGAAGUUGUGCAACUAUCAGUUUUGAAAACCAAUAGCAAUUCUUCAAUUGGAUAUAAAUACAUAAAUUUAUAAAGAUUCCUCCGUCCCAUAAAGAUAGGCUUACUUUCAUUUUUCGUCUUUCCCAAAUUAUAAGCCACUUUCCUUAUUGAGAUUAUAGUUAACUACUUAAUUUUCUAAUAUACCCCUAUUUAAUGUACAUCGUUAUCAACAAAUAUGAACAAGUCCUAUUCAGACCAUUAUUUAAUAUAGGGGUAUAUUAGAAAAAUAUAAGAAAAACUUAUAUUUCCAACUAUAUUAAUUACAUUUUCUUAAUUUCUGUAAAAUAGAAACAAGCCUAUCUUUGUGAGACACAGGGAGUAUCAAUAAUUUAAUUUAUGAAGCCAACGACUUUCAUAACAAUUAUAAUUGUCAAAAAAAAUAAAAAAAUCAAAAUCAAAAUAAAAAAUCAAAUCAUCAAUUCUAAAAACAAUUAAAACAAUAUUUCCAAGGUGUGACUUUGAUAUCUGUGUUUCUAUUCACUAACCUUUUUUUUCUCAUUAUUCAUAACUACUAUUCACUUUGUUUUCCCCCAUCAGAAACUUCUCUCCCCAUUGAAAAUCCCCACAUAAUAUCACUUUGAAAAUUAAAACAUCUUCAACUAAAUGCCAUGCCAAGAUUGCUUCUUCACCAAGAUGGGUUUCGAAAACUGGAGUUAGUUACGAAGAAUUUGGAGAUAUAUAUAUAUA
rnacentral:lncRNA from 1 species